CCUUCACCAGGAAUUUUUCCAGAAAUAUUUUACCAGAUCUUCUCAAUCCAACUAUUACUGCCCUGAAGCUCUAACAUCAAUGAGUUUAAAAUACUCAUUCAAAUGAAUGACUCGCAAGUGGUUUUUUUUUAAUAACUUCCUAUAAUUAUGCAUGAUUAACUUAACUCUUAUUAACUCAAUAACAUGACUAACCUCACUAACUUAAUCAGUUAUUAUAAAUACCACUUGUUGAGUUUUACUAUGAAGGUUUUACUGAGUUUGCUUGGAAGACGGGCUGAACGAUUAAUCAUGGAAAACGACAACUUGAAGCCAAGUGGUCUUCAACUCUCAAAUUUCUCAUUAGUGAGAACAAUCAUUUGAUCUACUAAUUAUGCUGUCCGUCCGUCCGUCUU